UGAUAGAUUCCUGUCGUGCUUGCUGUCCUC
rnacentral:piRNA from 1 species